rnacentral:rRNA from 1 species
AGCAGCAGCCGCGGUAAUACAGAGGGUGCGAGCGUUAAUCGGAUUUACUGGGCGUAAAGCGUGCGUAGGCGGCUUCUUAAGUUGGAUGUGAAAUCCCUGAGCUUAACUUAGGAAUUGCAUUCGAUACUGGGAAGCUAGAGUAUGGGAGAGGAUGGUAGAAUUCCAGGUGUAGCGGUGAAAUGCGUAGAGAUCUGGAGGAAUACCGAUGGCGAAGGCAGCCAUCUGGCCUAAUACUGACGCUGAGGUACGAAAGCAUGGGGAGCAAACAGGAUUAGAUACCCGCGUAGUCCCUGUCUCUUAUAA